rnacentral:lncRNA from 1 species
UGUAUAUGGUCCUCCUCCAAGCCAGUACCUGCCUAUAGUACUUCUUGUUCCCCCUUUCUGCUUUCUGCUUUCCCUUAACACUUUGAACUAGAAUGCUAAUUGAUUUUUUAAAAGUUGUUACCCCUUCUACUAGAAUUAAGCUUAAUUCUAGUAAAAAAGGGUUCUGUGUUUUGUCUAUUCCUCGCUCUCAAGCACAGUGCCCAGCCCACAAUAAGAACAUGAUAGAUGUCUAUUGAAAGGAUGAGUUAAGACUAGAAGAUGAAGGGAAGUAAGCCUGAGGGGAUAAUGAAUGAUGAAGUCAAGAGAGCGAAGCACAAGGAGAGAACUUGAAUUGAUUGGAUACACUUAGAGAAACAAAACGCCUGUGGCAGGCCAGGACACAGACAGCACCAGGUGCAAAGCACAGAAUGUCAUACUAGGGAGCUUCAACUUUGCUGUAUAAUCUAGGGGUCUCUACAAAUUUGGGGCUAAACAUCCUUAUUAGUAUAAAUGGUUUAGCAUGUACUUCUAGCCUACAUUUAUCUAUAUAUUAUGUACAUUUGUCAUCAUUUCGCACAUUAAACUCUGAUAUAUUUUC